CUUCGUGUACAGCAACAAUAUGGUUUGCAGCUGCUCCUAUGUGCAGUCUUCCAAAAAGGAACAUUCUGUGUGGCCAGAGGUGAGCUGAGCCUUCUGCCAAGCUGGAAGUUGUUCAGCAGAGAGGGUCAGACCUUGAGGAGCUGCCCCAGUCCCGCUGCCACAAUGGAGAAUGGAGAUGGAGCACAUCCACAGGAGCGGCGGCUGGUCGGGCUCACAGGCACGCUGGGGAAGGAGCAGCUCUGUGCUGCCCAGGGAGCGUCCCUCUGGAGGGGGCAGGCGGUGCGGCUGUGCGAUGUGCACGGAGCUGGUGGCACUCACUGGAUGAUCCCAGAAGACAAACAUUAUCGGCCCAGAUCAAACGCCUCCCACGAGAAGUCCAGCCUUCUUUGUUAGAGAAUUUAACAAAACAACUGGCAGAAGUUCAGUGGAACUGAUGAUUGUUCCGAGAGGUUACGGCGAACCACUGACGUUGUUAGCAAAAGGCUCGCAUGUAAGAUUCCCUAAGAGGAAAAGUGCAUGGAUACUUCAAAAUGUAAUUAACAGUGAAUUCCAACAACGUGAAAAAGAAGCAGUGGCUGUACCAGCUGCAGAGGAACCUGGCUGCAUGACAUGGGCACCUUGGUGGCCACGGCUCCCUUAAAAGCAGCAAGGGACAGGGCCAGCGGUGGUGGUGAUGUGAGGAACGUCGGGGCUGACCCCAUCCAUGCAGGUUCUUCGUGUGUUGCUGCCUUUGCUAUUGAACAUAGUUAAAGAUAUAGAAGUGACCAAGCAUGCUACGAAGCAAAACACUUUCUGUUAUUUUCUUAACCAUUAAGAAAAGUCAGAAUUUCAAACUCAGUGUUUGUCAGCUGAGGCGUACUUCUAACAAGGCAGGCGGAAGACUUGUACUGAUAAAAUGACUGUCAAAACACAGGAGCAAAGGGUACAAAGCAGCACAGUGCUCUGGGAGACCUGUUUAACCGGUGAACAAGAGAGAAGCUCAAAGUUUUAAGGGUUACUAAAAUUCCUGGCCUUUUGGGUGUGUGUGCCUUGCCUCUGGAGCCCCUGCCCCCUUGCACAGCCUGUCCUGCAGUGCUGGAGAUCCCAAAGCAGCUUUCCUCCAGCCCACUCAGCCUGGCACAGCCUCGGCCUUCCCUGCACUACAGUUCUGCAGCUUGCUGCUUUUCACACAGUAGCAAUGAGAAGCUCCAUUUAAUAAAAUAACAAUAAAAAAAUGCGGCCCUCGUAGUGCCAGGCCCUGGCUCACCCUUCAGCAGAGGCCAGAGGCAAGCAGGGGCGGGGGAGCACCAUGUGACACCAAGACAGGCAAGGGCAAAACACAAAGCUAUGGCUCCCAAACCCAUCGAGCCGAACAGCCUCCCUGCACACCAAGAGUGUCUUUGUGGAUGUAACUAAAGGAAACACAACAACAGAACCCGGCUUGUUAAAAAAUACCCACAGAAGGGGAGAGAAAAAAUAAAAAUCCUCAACACAGCCUCGUCUGUCUCCAGCAAACAGGGCUUUUUUCAGGCCCUGGGCUCAGGCGUGGGCCCAAGCCCCUGCGGGUGGUGAGUUACUGGCUGACAGCCUUGCUGGCUGCACAGAGGCUGAAGCGCGGUCCUCUCCCUGCCCUCAGCGCCAGCCGCCCCACAGCCCUCGUGCCUCCCUGCUGCCGCCCAGCUCAGCAGCCCCAUGGAUGGCACAGGGCUGUGUGACCAGGCCAGCCCCCCAAGGAACAUCUCUGAGACACCGGCAAAACAAGCAACGCUUAUCUCAUGCAUGCCACAGGUGUGAUGUCAUCCCCUCUGGCGAAGGAACGAGGAUGUCUACAGCCUCCACCGUGCAAAAAUGCAGGAACUGAAGUUAAUGUGCCUCAGACUUUGUUGAAAUAUGGUGAUAAUUAAGAAAUAUAAUUACCACUAUGAAGUUAAUGCCUCUCUGAGUUCUUACAAACAACUUUUUAAUUUGCACUGAGCAUUCACUUUGCAGAUGCGCAGUCACUCGGGUGUGGGGCCGGCAGUGCUGCAGUCCAUGCGCCACGGCCCACCUGGAGGGCAGGCGUGCAGAGGAGCCCUGUCAGAUACACGCUGCAUUCUAUUAAGAAAAAAAAAAAAAAAAAAGGAAGAAACUUACGAGGUAAUUGAUUGCUUUCUUCUAGUCUUUUAUUAGUUGUUAUUAAGGAGCUACAGUAGCCCUGUUUACACAUCCCC
rnacentral:lncRNA from 1 species